AGGACGAACGCUGGCGGCGUGCCUAACACAUGCAAGUCGAACGCGCUCCAUUCGGUAGCAAUACUGAUGAAGAGCGAGUGGCGAACGGGUGAGUAGCACGUGAGCAACCUGCCCCGAAGACUGGGACAACACCGGGAAACCGGUGCUAAUACCGGAUAUCCCUAUCGGACCGCAUGAUCUGAUAAGGAAAUGGAUUCCGCUUCGGGAGGGGCUCGCGGCCUAUCAGCUAGUUGGUGGGGUAAUGGCCCACCAAGGCAUCGACGGGUAGCUGGUCUGAGAGGACGAUCAGCCACACUGGGACUGAGACACGGCCCAGACUCCUACGGGAGGCAGCAGUGGGGAAUCUUGCGCAAUGGGCGAAAGCCUGACGCAGCAACGCCGCGUGGAGGACGAAGGCUUUCUGAGUUGUAAACUCCUUUCAGCAGGGACGAUAGUGACGGUACCUGCAGAAGAGCACCGGCCAACUACGUGCCAGCAGCCGG
rnacentral:rRNA from 1 species